rnacentral:rRNA from 1 species
UACACUCCUACGGGAGGCAGCAGUGGGGAAUUUUGGACAAUGGGCGAAAGCCUGAUCCAGCAAUGCCGCGUGAGUGAAGAAGGCCUUCGGGUUGUAAAGCUCUUUUGUCAGGGAAGAAACGGUGAAAGCUAAUAUCUUUUGCUAAUGACGGUACCUGAAGAAUAAGCACCGGCUAACUACGUGCCAGCAGCCGCGGUAAUACGUAGGGUGCAAGCGUUAAUCGGAAUUACUGGGCGUAAAGCGUGCGCAGGCGGUUUUGUAAGUCUGAUGUGAAAUCCCCGGGCUCAACCUGGGAAUUGCAUUGGAGACUGCAAGGCUAGAAUCUGGCAGAGGGGGGUAGAAUUCCACGUGUAGCAGUGAAAUGCGUAGAUAUGUGGAGGAACACCGAUGGCGAAGGCAGCCCCCUGGGUCAAGAUUGACGCUCAUGCACGAAAGCGUGGGGAGCAAACAGGAUUAGAUACCCCGGUAGUCCCAU